UUUCAUAUCACUGCCUACUUGGAAGCAAGCCCAAUUGCAACAACGCAGCAGCAACAAAAUAUGUAACUGCAUGCUGAAUAACGGUUAUAUAUAUUUUAUGUCAUUUCAGGUAAUUGUCUGGAAAAUCUCUCUGUAAAUUUGCGACAGGAAACACUCUGCACCACCUUUGUCACCAACCUACACUGACUUCAACUGUUGAGGAAAAAUAGCUAGAGGACACCACUUACUGUUGCGGACAAAAAGAGCUUUUGUGAAGAAAGGCCUCCAAACUACAGGAAAUACAAGGAUAAACCAUCACACCUUGAAUGAAGAUCCUUUACAGGAAACAUGACGUCAGUAUCAUUCGCUAAAAAAAAUCACAGCCACUUACCUGUUUAUUGCUUCCAGUCUGUGAUCAAGGAACAAAUAACGAGAUACAAUUAGGAUGCAUUUUCCGUCACAUCAUGCAAAGGCAAGAUCAGCAACAAAAGUGAUUAAAUUCAAAGAAAGCGCACUUUAGUCAAUCUCAGAAGUCCAGUUCAAAGGAAAAUCAUUUUACAAAUACAAGUGUGGCAACAAUAUUAGAGGUGAAGACUGUGAAGACUGUACCACAUUCCAAAUUUCAAAACACUUACAGAGUUGAACGGAUCCAUUAACUGAAACUCAGAAUUGGUUAAACAUGAAACAACAUAACUAAGUGCUGGCUACUGUCACUGACAUCAAAUUACAUUUCAUCAGUCUAUCUGUUACAUCAGAUCAGCAAUGAGGUUCAAUUCAACUUUAAAAAAAAAAAACAAAACUGACCUAAGCUUUUGUGAAGAACGCAGUCAUUUUAACUAAACGAUAAAGUACAGACGAUCCCUCAUCCAAAGUGCAGAUCAAAAAAAAAA